AGCUGAAGAGUAAAUCCGUCCUGAAACGCACCAGAGAAACCAACAAACACAACAUUACCCUCUCCCGCAUCUCUCAUGCAAAGUGUCCCAAAGAGGCUGGCAGAAUGGAAUUGAGCUGAGUCGCAAUGAGAAAGCAUACACGCCAUAAAGGAGCAUUCGAUAUAGAAGCAAUCACUCCAAGGUGAUCCGUGCCAUCAGUCAGUCAGAGGUGUAAAUCCCACGGGACGCAUGAGGUUCCUUUCAAUAAAAUGCAGAUGGGAUUGUUUGA
rnacentral:lncRNA from 1 species